UACGGAGGAUUCAAGCGUUAUCCGGAUUUAUUGGGUUUAAAGGGUGCGUAGGCGGAUUUUUAAGUCAGCGGUAAAAUGUCCGGGCUCAACCCGGGCCGGCCGUUGAAACUGGGGAUCUUGAGUUGGCGAGAAGUACGCGGAAUGCGCGGUGUAGCGGUGAAAUGCAUAGAUAUCGCGCAGAACUCCGAUUGCGAAGGCAGCGUACCGGCGCCAGACUGACGCUGAGGCACGAAAGCGUGGGGAUCGAACAGG
rnacentral:rRNA from 1 species